GGGAAUAUUGCGCAAUGGGGGAAACCCUGACGCAGCAACGCCGCGUGAGUGAGGAAGGUCUUCGGAUUGUAAAACUCUGUUCUUAGGGAAAAAUGUCCUAGUGGCUAAUAUCCAUUAGGAGUGAUGGUACCUAAGUAGAAAGCACCGGCUAACUUCGUGCCAGCAGCCGCGGUAAUACGAAGGGUGCAAGCGUUGUUCGGAAUCAUUGGGCGUAAAGCGAGCGCAGGCGGAUCAGUAAGUCAGGUGUGAAAUCUCGAGGCUCAACCUCGAAAUUGCGCCUGAAACUACUAGUCUAGAAUGUCGGAGGGGAUAGGGGAAUUUCACGUGUAGGGGUAAAAUCCGUAGAGAUGUGAAGGAACACCGGAGGCGAAGGCGCCUAUCUGGACGACUAUUGACGCUGAGGCUCGAAAGCGUGGGGAGCAAA
rnacentral:rRNA from 1 species